GCGAGUGGCGAACGGGUGAGUAAUACAUCGGAACGUACCCAGGAGUGGGGGAUAACGUAGCGAAAGUUACGCUAAUACCGCAUAUUCUGUGAGCAGGAAAGCGGGGGAUCGCAAGACCUCGCGCUCUUGGAGCGGCCGAUGUCGGAUUAGCUAGUUGGUGAGGUAAAAGCUCACCAAGGCGACGAUCCGUAGCAGGUCUGAGAGGAUGAUCUGCCACACUGGGACUGAGACACGGCCCAGACUCCUACGGGAGGCAGCAGUGGGGAAUUUUGGACAAUGGGGGCAACCCUGAUCCAGCCAUGCCGCGUGAGUGAAGAAGGCCUUCGGGUUGUAAAGCUCUUUCGGCGGGGAAGAAAUGGCAACGGCUAAUAUCCGUUGUUGAUGACGGUACCCGCAUAAGAAGCACCGGCUAACUACGUGCCAGCAGCCGCGGUAAUACGUAGGGUGCGAGCGUUAAUCGGAAUUACUGGGCGUAAAGCGUGCGCA
rnacentral:rRNA from 1 species